rnacentral:rRNA from 1 species
AACGAACGCUGGCGGCAGGCCUAACACAUGCAAGUCGAGCGAGGACUUCGGUUCUAGCGGCGGACGGGUGAGUAACGCGUGGGAAUGUGCCCUUCUCUACGGAAUAGCCCUGGGAAACUGGGAGUAAUACCGUAUACGCCCUAUUGGGGAAAGAUUUAUCGGAGAAGGAUCAGCCCGCGUUGGAUUAGGUAGUUGGUGGGGUAAUGGCCUACCAAGCCGACGAUCCAUAGCUGGUUUGAGAGGAUGAUCAGCCACACUGGGACUGAGACACGGCCCAGACUCCUACGGGAGGCAGCAGUGGGGAAUCUUAGACAAUGGGGGCAACCCUGAUCUAGCCAUGCCGCGUGAGUGAUGAAGGCCUUAGGGUUGUAAAGCUCUUUCUGCUGGGAAGAUAAUGACGGUACCAGCAGAAGAAGCCCCGGCUAACUCCGUG